GACGAACGCUGGCGGCGCGCUUAACACAUGCAAGUCGAGCGAGAACCAGGGCUUCGGCCCUGGGGAAAGCGGCGAACGGGUGAGUAACACGUGAGUCAUCCACCCUCGGCACCGGGAUAGCCCGGGGAAACCCGGAUUAAUACCGGAUGGCCCGUCUGCCCUUCGGGGCGGCCGGAAAAGGUAGCUUCGGCCUCCGGCCGAGGACGAGCUCGCGGCGGAUUAGCUUGUUGGCGGGGUAACGGCCCACCAAGGCGACGAUCCGUAGCUGGUCUGAGGGGACGAGCAGCCACACUGGGACUGAGACACGGCCCAGACUCCUACGGGAGGCAGCAGUGGGGAAUCUUGCGCAAUGGGCGAAAGCCUGACGCAGCGACGCCGCGUGCGGGAAGAAGGCCUUCGGGUUGUAAACCGCUUUCAGGAGGGACGAAGCCACUCGGGUGAAUAGCCCAGAGGGUGACGGUACCUCCAGAAGAAGCCCCGGCUAACUACGUGCCAGCCGCCGCCGUAACAC
rnacentral:rRNA from 1 species